CUGUAGAAUUUUUAUAUUGCUGAGAUCAUUAUCAAAAGAGGGACAUAUUGCUUCUAACGCAUGCAAUUCUGUGUUGUAGGAUAUCGUCAUUUAAAGCCAAUUAGACCGAGCCCAAGCCUUGUAAGUCAGAUGACCUUGACACAGAUGAUCAGAUAAGAACACAAGACCGCUACUUCUGGGUGACACCAGCAUUCUGUCCUUGAUCAUGGCAGCCAAAUGGGCCUUGGCAGCUGGUGGGGAAAGGGUCAGAAGGGUCAUUGGGUAGACCCCCUUACCUCGAGUGCUUGGUCGUCCCAUUUUGGGGUCACCCACCACCCCUGCAUUCACAGAGGACCGGUGGGCCUCCGAAAAGUCCUGGUGAUGUCUGUGGUUGGAGGGAACAGCAGCCAGCAGAAAGAAGUCGAUCAACCCAGCACGCUGAGAAGCUGCAUGGCUUCAUGGAAAGAGCCCGGGCCUGGGAGUCAGAGCCACUCCGAUCUAAUCUAGACUCCCCCUUUUGCCUGCUGUGUGACCUUGGGCAAGUUGCUUAACUUUUCUGGCCCUCAGUUUUCUCAUCUGGCAAAUGGGGAUGAAGUAAUAAUUAUGGUAUUUAAGUGCUUACUCUGUGCCAAGCGCUAUUCUGAGUGCUGGAGUAGAUGCGAGGUAAUCAGGUUGUCCCACACAGUCCCACAUGGUGGGGGGGGGGGGAUGUCACGGUCUUAAUCCCCAUUUUACAGAUGAGGUAACUGAGGCCCACAGAAGUGAAGUGACCUGCCCAAGGUCACACAGUAGACAGGUAGUGGAACCUGGAUUAGAACCCAUGACCUGACUCCCAGUCUCGUACUCUAUCCACUUCGCCAUGCUGUCUCCCUCCUACUCUGAGCCUCAUAUGGGUUAGGGAUUGUGUCUGACCUGAUUACCUAUUAUCUACUCCGGAGUUUAGUACAGUGCUGGGCACAAAGUGCGUGCCUAAGUGCUAUACAUAGCACAGAGGAAUGGAGGGACACAGCAGGAAGGGACAAUGUUGGUGCAGAAUUGGGCUGAAUGGCGCAAUCUCCCUCUUUACCAUGGUCAUGUUACAAUCCUCUCAAUUUUAAGCUACUUGAGGGCAGGAAUCUGCGCGUGGGUAGCGUGGCCUAAUGGGUAGAGCACGGGCCUAGGAGUCAGAGGGACCUUGGAUCUAAUCCCGGCUCUGCCGCUUGUCUACUGUGUGACCUUGGACAACUCGCUUAACUGCUCUGUGCCUCAGUUACUUCAUCUGUAAAGUGGGGAUUAAGACCGGGAGCCCCAAGUGGGACACGGACUGUGUCCAACCUGAUUACCUCGUAUCUAUCCCAGCUCUUAGAACAGUGCCCAGCACCUAGUACCUGCAUAACAAAUACCACUUUAAAAAAAAACUAAUUGUAUUGUACUCUCCCAAGCGCCUAGUACAGUGCUCUGCACACAGUUAACACUCAAUAAAUACCACUGAAUGAUCUUUAUUGUUGCCCCCGUGUUGCCUGUUGCUGCCCUUUCUGCUUCCAGUGUCAUUUUCAUCACAAGUUCCAAACUCUGUGUGUGCAGGCAGAGUCCGGCUGACUCUGAAAUCAUUGCCGGGAAAUCUUGGCAUGAACGCUGAAGGGGAAGGAGGGAAGAGCGAGGAGGAGGAUUGAAGGAACAGAAGCUUCUCUGCUUCUGACUGUCAUUUUGCUAACUGACACCUCAUGUGUCCUUGCUAACCCUAAAGCAGGAAGCAGCCUCUCGGGGGUAGAAGCCGCCCGGGGAGCCUGCCUGGUCCCCAGCCCUCUGGGAUCUUUCUUUUAUCCGGGUGCAUCAGCCUGGCACCGGUUUGCCUCAUGUGCCCGUGUUUUGGGUGGCCUUGUGGAUCUUCUGCCAUGGCUCUGCUUCUGUGUGCCUCUUUCUGCUUGCUUUUCUCUUUGCCGGCCUCUCUUACUUUCUCUCUGGCUCUAUUUUCUCUGCCGUAGUAAUAUCGAUAGUAGUCGUAGUUAUAGUAGUUAUAAUAAUAAUUAUUAUUAUUAUUAAUAAUAAAAUGGUAUUUGUUAAGUGUUUACUAGUUGCCAAGCGCUGUUCUCCGGACUGGGGUGGAUACAAAUUGGGUUGGACACAGUCCUUGUCCCACGUGGGACUCACAGUCUUCAUCCCCAUUUUACAGGUGAGGUAACUGAGGCACAGAGAAGUGAAGUGACUUGCCCAAGGUCACACAGCAGACAUGUGGCAGAUCCGGGAUUAGAACCCAUGACCCUCUGACUCCCAGGCCCGUGCUGCUCUAUCUACUAGGCCGUGCUGCUUCCCAUACUAUUAGUUGUAGUAAUAGUUAAUAAUAAUAAUAAUUCUGGUCUUUGAUAGACUCUUACUGUGUGCCAGACACAGUACUAAGGGCUGGGGUGGAGAUAAGCAAAUCGGGUUGGACACAGUCCCUGUCCCACAUGGGGCUCACAGCCUUAAUCCCCAUUUUACAGAUGAGGAAUCUGAGGCACAGGGAAGUGAAGUGCCUUGUCCAAGGUCACACAACAGGCCGAUGGCAGAAGCGGGAUUAGAACCCACUACCUCCUGACUCCCAGGGCCAUGCUCCACAGUAGUUAUAGUAGUUGUGGCUGUAGUGGUGGUAUUGUAUGCCGAGGGCAGUUACUAAGUUUUGGGAUAAAUACAAAAAUGUGAACUGAGUCACAGUUCCUCAAGGGGCUUACGAUAUUUCAGUGGCGACAGACAGACAAUUAUAAAAGAGAAAUCAAUUGUAGGGUCUCUCUGGUCCUAUACCCCGAGCCCAACCCAAUUCCAGUUUGAGUUUCUGGAGAUAUGGUGAUCUCACCAAUGCUAGUCCGAGGUCAUGGUGUCCAAGAUGCGGGCCUGACUGGAAAUAAGUCGGGACCAAACCAGAAAUGGGCCAGUGCAGGUCCCUCUGGGGGCUUCUGGGAAUUGUAACUCUAGCAGCCCAGGGGACCACUGUGCCUAUGCAGGAUUACUGCAGGGUCCAAUUGCCUCCCACCAACAAUAAAGCCGCCUUAGUGACAAAGAAAGGACAGAGCAAGGAAGGCCACGAGAUGGUCUAAACCCAGUCUGACCCAUCUGGGUCUGACUUGCCCCUGCCUGUCAGGCUUGGAACAUUGCAAAAAUGGGACGGUCUGUGCCUGUUGAGAUUACAGUCAAAUCUACGACUGACGUAAAUUCCCUCCCCGUUGUUACCCCUUGAUGUUUCCAUCCUGCUUCCAUUCAUUUGCCUUAUGCUUUCAGGGUCUAGACUGUUCAGCCUGCAAGAUACUUCAGAUUACUUUAUGCAGAAUCCUUUUUUGUUGACACAUAAACCAAAGCGUGUUAUUAGUGUGCAUGGCUAAUUGCGUAUAUGUUUUCCAAAGCCUUUACAAACAUGUCUGAAUGAUCAAAUGGGAGGCUCUAUCCAAGGCUAUAAUCAUUAAGUAAAAGCUUCCAGAACACUGUUAGAUCUGUCCCACCACUGUAAAUGAUUCAGAGAGGAAGCAAUUGGGAUGGAUCCACAUAAACAAAUGGCCAGUGCAGUCACCUCUACAUAGGAGGAUUCAAAACUUUGCACACAACAGACAGGAAAGCUUUGAUCCAAAGUAGAAAGAGUCCAAAUAUUUUCAUCAUUAUACCAUCUAUCAACCAUUCUUUAGAACUCCGAGCAAUUCUGUGUCUCUGGGACUUGCUGCUUUGUCUUCAUUUGGGAGACACUUAUUUAAGUCCUCCUGAAAAUGUGAUGCCAGAAAUAAACUAUCUUUGUUUGGGAUCCACUUCCAGGCUCUUUCCCCUCAGCUGCCCUCAGGGAGGCGUGAAGCAACUAUGGUGUAACCAGACAGCCCAAAAUAGGUGGGACAGUUGUGCAUUUCAGGGUUCCGCCCUGCUUCCCAAAAGACCCAAGGAAGAACCUUCU
rnacentral:lncRNA from 1 species